UCCACAGUUCUUGAACACCUCCAGGGAUGGUGACUCUUCCACCUCCCUGGGCAGCCUGUACCAAUGCCUCACCACUCCUGAGAAGUUGUUUUCCCUAAGAUCCAGCCUGAACCUCCCCUGGCACAAAUUAAAGCCAUUAGCUCUCGUCCUAUCGCUGUUGCCUGGAAAGAGAGACUGACCCCCACCUCACUACAACCUCCUUUCAGGAAGCUGUAGAGAGCAAUAAGGUCAUCCUUGAGCCACCUCUUCUCCAGACUGAACCCCCUUUCCUCAGCCAUUCCUUAUAACUUUCUCACUGGAAUCUUCCAGUUGAGUCAAAACGGGUUAUUCAGGGGAAUAGACCUGUGGGGGGGGGGGCUUCAUAAUGUGCAUCGUGUCUUUGAGACCCUUAGUAGACUACAGGUAUCUUUAAAGCUGCUGUCAAAGUUCGGGUUCUUUUUGUCACAAUCUAAAAAUCAUUUUAAUUAAGGGCCAAACCACAAGAUUGGUUUCAGUGGCAGUGUGGUUAAGCCCAAAGAUCUGCAGUCAUUGGACAAUUCAGUUACUUAAAACAAAAAAUUGCAGUGUUUCACACGUGUCUUCUUAUUGAACAGAAAACUCAACAGGUCUCAGUUGCCACAUACUUUUUUCUUUUUUUCCAUGAAUGUAAUCAAUAUGAAGUUGGGUUGGUGGCUCAUGUUUGGGGUUAAUUUCCCUUUUACAAAGAUUUUUCCAGCUGUUUUCCAGUUACUCCUGUUGUUAAAUAUGUGCACACAAAGCUACAUCUACCGUGACUUUUAUAGUCAUUCUCAAAGUUAAAAUGUGAAGAACAAGAACAUGACUACCAAGCUGACAGUGUUUGAGAAGAAAUGAGGGUCUGGAUGCUGUGAACUGGACCUUUUAGAUCCACUCCCAGAUCAGGAUCACCUUAUUGGAAAGUCAUACCUAGCAGUAUUUGGUCUUCGGCAGGAGAUCAAGGCAGCUCAUUCCCAUGAGGUUUCUAUUUGGGUACGCAUAGCCAGAACUAUGUUUGAGAGAUGGAGCACACAUCUUUUGCAUCUGGCUUUCAUAGAUACACUACAUAAAUGCCACUGGAACACUGUGGAGCAAAAUGAAUAGGGUUGGUGACAUUACAGAGAGACUGCUUGCCUUGAGAGAGGAACCUAAAAAUGCUUGAGAGGCCCCUUCAUGUGCUGGAAGAAGGGAACACUGGAAGUGUUAAGACACUUGUGGUGCAGAUGCAGGAAGCAGCCUAUCUCAAUAAAG